GACGGAGGGUGCUAGCGUUGUUCGGAAUCACUGGGCGUAAAGGGCGCGUAGGCGGCGCCGGCAGUCGGCCGUGAAAGCCCGGGGCUCAACCCCGGAGGUGCGGCCGAGACGCCGGUGCUGGAGGCCGGAAGAGGAGGGUGGAAUACCCAGUGUAGAGGUGAAAUUCGUAGAGAUUGGGGGGAACACCGGUGGCGAAAGCGGCUCUCUGGUCCGGACCUGACGCUGAGGCGCGAAAGAGUGGGGAGCAAACAGG
rnacentral:rRNA from 1 species